CCUACGGGAGGCAGCAGUGAGGAAUAUUGGUCAAUGGACGAGAGUCUGAACCAGCCAAGUAGCGUGAAGGAUGACUGCCCUAUGGGUUGUAAACUUCUUUUAUAUGGGAAUAAAAUGUUCCACGUGUGGGAUUUUGUAUGUACCAUAUGAAUAAGGAUCGGCUAACUCCGUGCCAGCAGCCGCGGUAAUACGGAGGAUCCGAGCGUUAUCCGGAUUUAUUGGGUUUAAAGGGAGCGUAGGUGGAUUGUUAAGUCAGUUGUGAAAGUUUGCGGCUCAACCGUAAAAUUGCAGUUGAAACUGGCGGUCUUGAGUACAGUAGUGGUGGGCGGAAUUCGUGGUGUAGCGGUGAAAUGCUUAGAUAUCACGAAGAACUCCGAUUGCGAAGGCAGCUCACUGGACUGCAACUGACACUGAGGCUCGAAAGUGUGGGUAUCAAACAGGAUUAGAUACCCCAGUAGUC
rnacentral:rRNA from 1 species